UGCUCUGAUGAAAUCACUAAUAGGAAGUGCCGUCAGAAGCGAAGAAUACAUUGAAGCAGUGUGUUU